rnacentral:rRNA from 1 species
UGAGCAAUCUGCCCUUCUCUUCGGAAUAAGCGUUGGAAACGACGUCUAAUGCCGAAUACGACCUCCUUUCGCAUGAUCGGAGGUGGAAAGCUCCGGCGGAGAAGGAUGAGCUCGCGGCCUAUCAGCUAGUUGGUGGGGUAAAGGCCCACCAAGGCGACGAUCCGUAGCUGGUCUGAGAGGAUGAUCAGCCACACUGGGACUGAGACACGGCCCAGACCUCGUACGGGGA